UAGGUGCCUUGUGGGUCCUUGUCUUUCAAGGUUUUUCCCAUAGUUUAGAGGCCAAUGUUUGCUUUUAUUUCUUAGUUAUUCACAGAAGGAAGUAUUUAAGUGUUGGAGCUGGUGGCAUAAAAGCUGCUACUAAAGCCCUGGAAUAAUAUCUUGUAUCAGCCACAGCCAUGAACACGUCUGGAAGGGUACAGCAGCAUAUGCAUGAAUGUUCCUUUAUUUUACCCAGGGAUGUGUUAGCAGAAACUCUUAAGUGUAGCCAUUCCCUAAUCCUCCCCAUCCAGGACCUGCUUUAAAGUGGAUAGAACACAUAGAUGGUAUGAUUUGAGGGGAUGCCAGGCAGGAUGCUUCAUUCAGAAAUGCUUAUUCCACUGCCUCGUAAGCCAACAUUAUUAAGCUUAACUUUGGCUCUUGAAAGCUACCACAAGUGCUUAC
rnacentral:lncRNA from 1 species